GGUUAAGUUAGAAAGGGCGCACGGUGGAUGCCUUGGCACUAGGAGCCGAAGAAGGACGGGACUAACACCGAUAUGCUUUGGGGAGCUGUACGUAAGCGUUGAUCCAGAGAUUUCCGAAUGGGGGAACCCACUAUCUUUAGUCGGAUAGUAUCCUUACGUGAAUACAUAGCGUGAGGAAGGCAGACCCAGGGAACUGAAACAUCUAAGUACCUGGAGGAAGAGAAAGAAAAAUCGAUUUCCUGAGUAGCGGCGAGCGAAACGGAAAGAGCCCAAACCAAGAAGCUUGCUUCUUGGGGUUGUAGGACACUCUAUACGGAGUUACAAAAGAAAGUUAUAAAUGAAGCGGUCUGGAAAGGCCCGCCAAAGACGGUAACAGCCCGGUAGUUGAAAUGGCUUUCCCUCCAGAGUGGAUCCUGAGUACGGCGGAACACGUGAAAUUCCGUCGGAAUCCGGGAGGACCAUCUCCCAAGGCUAAAUACUCCCUAGUGACCGAUAGUGAACCAGUACCGUGAGGGAAAGGUGAAAAGCACCCCGGAAGGGGAGUGAAACAGUUCCUGAAACCGUGUGCCUACAAGUAGUUAGAGCCCGUUAAUGGGUGAUAGCGUGCCUUUUGUAGAAUGAACCGGCGAGUUACGAUUUGUUGCAAGGUUAAGCGGAAAAAGCGGAGCCGUAGCGAAAGCGAGUCUGAAUAGGGCGCAUAAGUAACAGGUCGUAGACCCGAAACCAGGUGAUCUACCCAUGUCCAGGAUGAAGGUAAGGUAAUACUUACUGGAGGUCCGAACCCACGCACGUUGAAAAGUGCGGGGAUGAGGUGUGGGUAGCGGAGAAAUUCCAAUCGAACUUGGAGAUAGCUGGUUCUCUCCGAAAUAGCUUUAGGGCUAGCCUCGAGGUAAAGAGUCAUGGAGGUAGAGCACUGUUUGGACUAGGGGCCCUUCUCGGGUUACCGAAUUCAGAUAAACUCCGAAUGCCAUGUACUUAUACUCGGGAGUCAGACUGCGAGUGAUAAGAUCCGUAGUCGAAAGGGAAACAGCCCAGACCACCAGUUAAGGUCCCCAAAUAUAUGUUAAGUGGAAAAGGAUGUGGGGUUGCUUAGACAACCAGGAUGUUGGCUUAGAAGCAGCCACCAUUGAAA
rnacentral:rRNA from 1 species